GCUGGCAUAGCUCAGUUGGUAGAGCAACAGAUUUGUAAUCUGUGGGCCGGGGAUUCGAGCUCCUCUGUCAGCUCCA
rnacentral:tRNA from 1 species